GUGAGGAAUUUUCCGCAAUGGGCGAAAGCCUGACGGAGCAAUGCCGCGUGAAGGAUGAAGGCCUAUGGGUUGUAAACUUCUUUUCUCAGAAAAGAAUUAUGACGGUAUCUGAGGAAUAAGCAUCGGCUAACUCUGUGCCAGCAGCCGCGGUAAGACAGAGGAUGCAAGCGUUAUCCGGAAUGAUUGGGCGUAAAGCGUCUGUAGGUUGUUUAAAAAGUAUUCUGUCAAAGAUUAGGGCUUAACCCUAGAUAGGCAGAAUAAACUUUUAAGCUAUAGUUUGGUAGAGGCAGAGGGAAUUCCCGGUGGAGCGGUGAAAUGCGUAGAUAUCGGGAGGAACACCAGAGGCGAAGGCACUCUGCUGGGCCAAUACUAACACUGAGAGACGAAAGCGAGGGGAGCAAAUGGGAUUAGAAACCCUGGUAGUCC
rnacentral:rRNA from 1 species